rnacentral:rRNA from 1 species
GUCGAGGGGUAUAGGUUUUCGGACCUAGAGACCGGCGCACGGGUGCGUAACGCGUAUGCAAUCUACCUUUUACAGAGGGAUAGCCCAGAGAAAUUUGGAUUAAUACCUCAUAGUAUUAUUGAAUGGCAUCAUUUAAUAAUUAAAGUCACAACGGUAAAAGAUGAGCAUGCGUCCCAUUAGCUUGUUGGUAAGGUAACGGCUUACCAAGGCAACGAUGGGUAGGGGUCCUGAGAGGGAGAUCCCCCACACUGGUACUGAGACACGGACCAGACUCCUACGGGAGGCAGCAGUGAGGAAUAUUGGUCAAUGGGCGCAAGCCUGAACCAGCCAUGCCGCGUGCAGGAUGAAGCAUCUAUGGUGUGUAAACUGCUUUUGUACGAGAAGAAACACUCCUUCGUGAAGGAGCUUGACGGUAUCGUAAGAAUAAGGACCGGCUAACUCCGUGCCAGCAGCCGCGGUAAUACGGAGGGUCCAAGCGUUAUCCGGAAUCAUUGGGUUUAAAGGGUCCGUAGGCGGUUUUGUAAGUCAGUGGUGAAAGCCCAUCGCUCAACGGUGGAACGGCCAUUGAUACUGCAAGACUUGAAUUAUUAGGAAGUAACUAGAAUAUGUAGUGUAGCGGUGAAAUGCUUAGAGAUUACAUGGAAUACCAAUUGCGAAGGCAGGUUACUACUAAUGGAUUGACGCUGAUGGACGAAAGCGUGGGGAGCGAACAGGAUUAGAUACCCUGGUAGUCCACGCCGUAAACGAUGGAUACUAGCUGUUCGGAGCAAUCUGAGUGGCUAAGCGAAAGUGAUAAGUAUCCCCACCUGGGAGUACGUUUCGCAGAAUGAAACU